rnacentral:rRNA from 1 species
CGCGUAGGUGGUUUGUUAAGCGAGAUGUGAAAGCCCCGGGCUUAACCUGGGAACGGCAUUUCGAACUGGCAGACUAGAGUGUGGUAGAGGGUAGUGGAAUUCCCUGUGUAGCGGUGAAAUGCGUAGAUAUAGGAAGGAACACCAGUGGCGAAGGCGGCUACCUGGACCAACACUGACACUGAGGUGCGAAAGCGUGGGGAGCAAACA